UACGUAGGGGGCAAGCGUUGUCCGGAUUUAUUGGGCGUAAAGAGCGUGUAGGCGGCCUUACAGGUCAGCUGUGAAAACUCGAGGCUCAACCUCGAGACGUCGGUUGAAACCGUAUGGCUAGAGUCCGGAAGAGGAGAGUGGAAUUCCCGGUGUAGCGGUGAAAUGCGCAGAUAUCGGGAGGAACACCAGUGGCGAAGGCGGCACUCUGGGCCGGAACUGACGCUGAGGAGCGAAAGCGUGGGUAGCAAACAGG
rnacentral:rRNA from 1 species